rnacentral:piRNA from 1 species
UGCUAUCGUACAGGCUACGUCCUCUCUAGC